UACGGAGGAUGCGAGCGUUAUCCGGAUUUAUUGGGUUUAAAGGGUGCGUAGGCGGGAUGCCAAGUCAGCGGUAAAAAUGCGGUGCUCAACGCCGUCGAGCCGUUGAAACUGGCGUUCUUGAGUGGGCGAGAAGUAUGCGGAAUGCGUGGUGUAGCGGUGAAAUGCAUAGAUAUCACGCAGAACUCCGAUUGCGAAGGCAGCAUACGGGCGCCCUACUGACGCUGAGGCACGAAAGCGUGGGUAUCGAACAGG
rnacentral:rRNA from 1 species